UACAGAGGGGGCAAGCGUUGUUCGGAAUUACUGGGCGUAAAGGGCGCGUAGGCGGUGAUGUAAGACAGAUGUGAAAUCCCCGGGCUCAACCUGGGAACUGCAUUUGUGACUGCAUCGCUGGAGUGCGGCAGAGGGGGAUGGAAUUCCGCGUGUAGCAGUGAAAUGCGUAGAUAUGCGGAGGAACACCGAUGGCGAAGGCAAUCCCCUGGGCCUGCACUGACGCUCAUGCACGAAAGCGUGGGGAGCAAACAAG
rnacentral:rRNA from 1 species